rnacentral:sRNA from 1 species
GAUUACGAGACUGCUUGCAGGCGGAGCAAUCUAUCUAUUAGAGGAUCCAACAUACAUGAGCAAAUAGGACGUUAGUCCGGAAUGUGAAUGUAUGUUGCGGAUUCGGGAGCGCGAAGCGCGGAGAAUCCGU